rnacentral:rRNA from 1 species
AAACCGUUCAGGGGUAAACCUGCGAAACUCGAAUGAACGAACGGAGAGAUUCAUCGUCAUUCUUCGGCGCAACGGCGUAGGUCUUUUAGAUGGUCGCGGCCUCGGUCGCGAUCACUGCCCGCAUCGUUAGUGUCCGGGGACGGCGUGCACUUCUCUCUCAGUAAUACAUCGCGACCCUUUCGGUGUCCGUCUAAGUGCCCCCCGGGAGUCUUCGCGCCGCUCGUCGGCGUGUAGACCGGCGGGUGCACCGACCGACCGCCGGAAGGUAGAUCUAACGAAACGCUCACGCGCAUCAAGCGCGUCCGGCCCGACGCAAGGCAACGUCGUAUCUCGCUUCCUGCCCGUGUGCGGACGCGGGUGCGGCGCGCCUGUUGUCGCAGCCGUGCUGUCUCGGACCGUGUGCGUAUCCGUCUGCGAUGAUUCAGUUUCGGGCACUCGCAGGACCCGUCUUGA